rnacentral:tRNA from 1 species
GAUAAGAUAGUUUAAUUAAAAUGUCUAUUUUACACGUAGAAGAUGAGGCUUGCCUUCUAUUAUCA